GUAGGUGGCAAGCGUUGUCCGGAUUUACUGGGCGUAAAGAGCGCGCAGGCGGUCGUGCAAGUCGCGUGUGAAAGCCCCCGGCUCAACUGGGGAGGGUCACGCGAUACUGCUCGACUUGAAGGCAGGAGAGGGAAGCAGAAUUCCCGGUGUAGUGGUGAAAUGCGUAGAUAUCGGGAGGAAUACCAGUGGCGAAGGCGGCUUCCUGGCCUGUUCUUGACGCUGAGGCGCGAAAGCUAGGGUAGCAAACGGGAUUAGAUACCCCGGUAGUCCUAGCCGUAAACGAUGGACACUAGGUGUUGGUGGUAUCAACCCCGCCAGUGCCGAAGCUAACGCAUUAAGUGUCCCGCCUGGGGAGUACGGCCGCAAGGCUA
rnacentral:rRNA from 1 species